AAAAGCAAUCUGCUCUUGGCCAAGAGCCCUUUUCACUUUUCUUCAGACUCCUCUCUUGCCCCCUUCUCUACUCAGCUGACAUGGAGAAGCUCAUGCACCUCAUCUUCUUGGUCUUCUUGUCAGCAUCCUGUGCUGUAGAGAAUGUCACUGUGGUGUAUGGAAUGGAGGGAGGCACCAUUUCUGUCAACUGCACCUAUAACCCCUGGCAGCAGCGGUGGAGAGAAAAGAGCUGGUGCAAGCAGAUCGAUGAGACCAAGUGCCAACAUGUGGUGAGCGCCCGACGCUUCUGGCUGCCAUUCCUCAAGAACAGGAAUGGCACCACCUCCAUCAGUGACAAUGUCCAUGAAGGGGUCCUGACAGUGACCAUGAAACGACUCAAGAAGCAGGAUGCUGGGUUGUACCAGUGCAAAAGUGACUACCUGGGGGAAACAAACAGCUUAAGGAAGGUGCAAGUGGAAGUGCUGACAGCUGUCCUAGAGACCCAAAUGCCAGAGGAGCCUAGUGCUGUGCAGAGCAUCUCCAGCAUCCCUCCUGAAGCUGAUGUCACUGUCUUCUAUAUCAUGGCUGGAUUCCUGGCUACUAAGUUCGUGGUGGCUGUGCUGAUCUUUAUAAUUGGAAACAGUAGGAAGAACAGAGAAACAGAGCAGGAGAACCCAAGUUUGAAUGAGCAGCGGGUCUUCCCUUUCACUGGUGACCUUGCACAUGAUGGAAUCAGCCCCUCCUGGGAGAGCACUGCUUAGAGCUAAACCAAAGGGAAUCCACAGGGAAAUGAACAUCAAGCAUGUGCAAGCAAAGCUUUGCCACCUGACGUAAGAAAAAGAUCGCUUACUAAACGUAGGUAUUGACGAACCUAUCACUCUAGAGAGAGAAUGUCACCAUCUACCACCUCUUCUCAUGGCGCUGACCAACUUUUUCCAACACAACCGAACUGAAAAGAUGCUGCCAGUACUACCUGAACCUAAUGGAAGAGGAUGGGAUCAAGGCCCAGGGGGAAAGGAGGAAUAUGAAGUCUUUCUGUCAAGAGAUUCAGCACAGACUUAUCUAUGUGCAGAGAUGCUUCCCCAGGCAUGGAAAGAAACACAGCCGGGUUGCUACAUAUGGCUACCUAGACAACAAUAUAUUUAAAGCGGAAAAGCAGCCAGUAAACAUUAUGCAGCCUUCCCACCCAAGAAGCAAUAUUGAGACUGUGGUUAAAAGAUAUUCUCAGCAAUUCCAAACUGGC